UUCUUUUAGUCAUGUCGAACUCCGACGUAGCUGAAUGGUUCCCGACCCAGUGAAUUAACACUGCGCUGGAAUGAGUGGUGAAAAUAUGAGGCUAUCCAGUGGAAUAAGUAAGAAGGUGGAUCCGACGGUGAAAUAAAUUGCUGCAAGCAUCCAGUUUUUUAGUAAGAACGACGAUAUGGAGACCGACGAAAUAACGAUGUUCCAACCAGGAGGUGCAUUCUAAGCGGUCUUGGCAUUAUAUCCCCCAUUGGGACAUUGCCGCCUCGAAGCAUAGUGUUCAUUAAGCAUUUCCACAGUUGUUAACUGUGAGGUUUCUAAGCCAUUUUUGCAUUCGUACAUCAUGAGGCUAACACGAUGAUUUAUGCUCAGGAAAGUCGAAAAAAAUUCCUAGACCGGACCGGACAUCGAACCCAGCCACCUUCAGGUCUUGCUUUGUAGCCGCGCAGUAGCUGAUCGAGAUUUUCAGAUUGAAGAAACAGCUAUACGGAAUACUUUCUGCCCUUGAUGGAAACGAUCGAUGCAAUGAAGGAGGAAAAUGAUAAAGCUGUCGAUGGGAAUUAUGUACGUUCCAGAGGCAGUUCUGAAGAAGAAGAAACUGGGCAAUGCUGUAUCGGCUGGAACCACCUGGAACGUUCCGUAUAUAAUCAGAAUAUGGUUCGAAGCAUCAUUGGAUGUUGCUAAACCUAAGAAAAUCAGCCCAACACGAUGAUGUGGCAGUCAUUCACGGAAGCAGGUUUAUGCUACCACCAAAGAAGGCAUCGAAAAAAGGCGAGCAGAUGGAUAAGAUGGAUAACAGUGAGCUCUAGCAACCCUUGGUGAAGCGCCAUCCAACAUAGGGGCAAUGAAAUGAAGUCUCGGAGCAAUAAUGCUAUUAGACAGUUAACAAAUAAAAAAAGAAAAGAUAGAAAAAAAUAAUUAGGUUUUAUUCUUUGGGCUUCCUUUCAUAAUUGGUAUACGAAACAUAUCUGGGCUGGAUGGCUAUAACUCAAGCGAAAG